rnacentral:tRNA from 1 species
UGUUGGUGGAGAUGGAUACCACGCUGGGCUUUCAAUCCAGAGGCCGCGGGUUCGAUUCCGGCCAUCCA